AUUCUUCUUCUUGGUGGGAGGCCAGACCGUGGCCUUGUUCCCCGUAAUGCAAAGAAGCAGAGUGAAAGGUCUCUGGCCCCUCUAUAUCAUGUCUUUGGUAUUGAUGGUUUCUAGUCUACCAGUUCUAUCCUCAAGCACUGGGACACUG
ensembl:snoRNA small nucleolar RNA SNORA57